UGGCAUUUAUGACCUUGGUAUGACCUUCAU
rnacentral:piRNA from 1 species